rnacentral:rRNA from 1 species
UGGAGAGUUUGAUCCUGGCUCAGGACGAACGCUGGCGGCGUGCCUAAUACAUGCAAGUCGAGCGGACUGUUCCUUCGGGAACAGUUAGCGGCGGACGGGUGAGUAACACGUAGGCAACCUGCCUGUAAGACCGGGAUAACUAUCGGAAACGAUAGCUAAGAGCGGAUAGCUGGAUGGAACGCAUGUUCCGUUCAUGAAACACGGAGCAAUCUGUGGCUUACAGAUGGGCCUGCGGCGCAUUAGCUAGUUGGUGGGGUAACGGCUCACCAAGGCGACGAUGCGUAGCCGACCUGAGAGGG